rnacentral:tRNA from 1 species
GGAGGGAUAGUCUAAUUGGUAAGGCACCGCAUUCGAAAUGCGGCGCGGGAAACCGCUUGAGAGUUCGAGUCUCUCUCCCUCCGCCA